GACGAACGCUGGCGGCGUGCUUAACACAUGCAAGUCGAACGGAAAGGCCCUGCUUUUGUGGGUUGCUCGAGUGGCGAACGGGUGAGUAACACGUGAGUAACCUGCCCUUGACUUUGUGAUAACUUCAGGAAACUGGGGCUAAUACCGGAUAGGAGCUCCUGCUCCAUGGUGGGGGUUGGAAAGUUUCGGCGGUUGGGGAUGGACUCGCGGCUUAUCAGCUUGUUUGUGGGGUAGUGGCUUACCAAGGCUUUGACGGGUAGCCGGCCUGAGAGGGUGACCGGCCACAUUGGGACUGAGAUACGGCCCAGACUCCUACGGGAGGCAGCAGUGGGAAAUAUUGCACAAUGGGCGGAAGCCUGAUGCAGCAACGCCGCGUGCGGGAUAACGGCCUUCGGGUUGUAAACCGCUUUCGCCUGUGACGAAGCGUGAGUGACGGUAAUGUGUAAAGAAGCACCGGCUAACUACGUG
rnacentral:rRNA from 1 species